UACGUAGGGUGCGAGCGUUGUCCGGAAUUACUGGGCGGAAAGAGCUCGUAGGUGGUUUGUCGCGUUGUUCGUGAAAACUCACGGCUUAACUGUGAGCGUGCGGGCGAUACGGGCAGACUGGAGUACUGCAGGGGAGACUGGAAUUCCUGGUGUAGCGGUGGAAUGCGCAGAUAUCAGGAGGAACACCGGUGGCGAAGGCGGGUCUCUGGGCAGUAACUGACGCUGAGGAGCGAAAGCGUGGGGAGCGAACAGG
rnacentral:rRNA from 1 species